UGAUGCCCAGUGGUCUUGGUAUCUG
rnacentral:misc_RNA from 1 species